UCCAAGUACUAACCAGGCCCGACCCUGCUUAGCUUCUGAGAUCAGACAAGAUCGGGCGCGUUCAGGGUGGUAUGGCCAUAGACUCUGUUUCCUUUUCUAAAGUUUCCACAGGCAGUUCUCAAAAACGGGAAAAUCACGUCAGUGUUGGCAAAUGACAAUGAUAUUUGCCCUAGAAAAAGAAGAGCUCGGUAAAAUGAGUUGAGACCUCUUUUUAAACCAAUGAAGUCAUUUAAAGUAAAAACAUGUUACAUUAAGGUCUUUUGUUAGGGUUCACUGCUGUUGAACGGGAUGAAAAUGUCACAUCAAUACACAAGAUUUAAACUGAAAACUUUGCCUGAGACCCUGUAAUGUGACGACAAACAAGUAAGAAAGUGAUUGAGAUGGUAUCCCCUAAAGAAAACAAUUUUUAGGUUCAGAUAUUAUUACUGUAAGGAAAAAAAAAAUCCGGACUACACUAUUCUAAACUCACCAUCUCUACAGUGGUUCUUAAGAUAUUUAUAAGGACAGAAAUCACCACUACGCAUACAGACUACAUGAACACAUAUCACAUUUAAAAAUCUCAUAUAUGCAUGUUCAGGAUACAAGAAGAUAAUAAAGGUCACGGCUUCGCCAAUCUCUGCAGACAUAUGAUUCGCUCUCAUUAGAGCACAGUUAAGAGUAUUGUGAAUUGGGAAGUCUUAAAAUUGAAUCGGCUAAAUGUAGUCUUAAAAGCUAUAGUCUUAAUUGGCUCACUUGCUACUUACCUAAGCUGUAUUUACCAGAAAUUUCUGUAAAUACAGUGACCUAAAAUGUACUACCAGCACAUGGACUAUCAUGGUUGCUUUCAACUAAACUCUCCGUUUCUUUGAUUUCUCUAUGACCACAGUUGGCAUUUACUGUGAAUGAAAAAGAGUAAAAAUUGAGAAGUGUUCUGUCUUGUAGGAGGUUAUGUCUUAUAUAUAGAAAAUAUAUAGACACAAACGGGUAAGUCUUGUUUUCCCCGAGGUUGGAAGACCAGGGAUCUACAGCUCAUAGAGAGACAUUUUCAGGAGAG